CGGGCAUUAGCGCAGUCUGGUAGCGCACCGUGCUGGGGGCGCGGUGGUCACAGGUUCAAAUCCUGUAUGCCCGACCA
rnacentral:tRNA from 1 species